UGCAAGUCGAACGAGAAGCGCGUCUUCGGAUGCGUGGAGAGUGGCGGACGGGUGAGUAACGCGUGGGAACCUGCCCUAGGGUACGGAAUAACCUCGGGAAACCGGGGCUAAUACCGUAUACGUCCUUCGGGAGAAAGGGUUAUGUACCGCCCCUGGAUGGGCCCGCGUCGGAUUAGCUAGUUGGUGGGGUAAAGGCCUACCAAGGCGACGAUCCGUAGCUGGUUUGAGAGGAUGAUCAGCCACACUGGGACUGAGACACGGCCCAGACUCCUACGGGAGGCAGCAGUGGGGAAUAUUGGACAAUGGGCGCAAGCCUGAUCCAGCAAUGCCGCGUGAGUGAUGAAGGCCUUAGGGUUGUAAAACUCUUUCAGCAGGGAAGAUAAUGACGGUACCUGCAGAAGAAGCUCCGGCUAACUCCGUGCCAGCAGCCGCGGUAAUACGGAGGGAGCUAGCGUUGUUCGGAAUUACUGGGCGUAAAGCGCGCGUAGGCGGCCUGACAAGUUGGGGGUGAAAGCCCGAGGCUUAACCUCGGAACUGCCCUCAAAACUAUCAGGCUAGAGUCCGGGAGAGGCAGGCGGAAUUCCUAGUGUAGAGGUGAAAUUCGUAGAUAUUAGGAAGAACACCAGUGGCGAAGGCGGCCUGCUGGACCGGUACUGACGCU
rnacentral:rRNA from 1 species